rnacentral:tRNA from 1 species
CAUGAUCUUGCCUGGUGGCAGGCACAGGCUUCCAAACCUGUGGGGAAUCCUCGGCGACCCAGUGUAGUGGUUCGACUCCACCUUG